GGUUGUGUAGUGUAAUGGUUAUCACCCCAGAUUCUGAGCAAACGCGAGGAUCUUCUGGUGAUCCAGGUUCGAUCCCUGGCACGACCU